rnacentral:misc_RNA from 1 species
ACCUGGGGAGUACGCCGGCAACGGUGAAACUCAAAGGAAUUGACGGGGGCCCGCACAAGCGGUGGAGCAUGUGGUUUAAUUCGACGCAACGCGAAGAACCUUACCUGGGCUUGACAUCUUGGGGAAAGCCGUGAGAAACCACGGUUCCUCUUCGGAGUCCCAAGACAGGUGCUGCAUGGCUGUCGUCAGCUCGUGUCGUGAGAUGUUGGGUUAAGUCCCGCAACGAGCGCAACCCCCGCUCCCAGUUGCCAGCGAGUCAAGUCGGGGACUCUGGGAGGACUGCCGGUGCCAAACCGGAGGAAGGUGGGGAUGACGUGUCCUUGAUAGG